ensembl:misc_RNA 7SK 7SK RNA
GAAUGAGAGGGCCAUCUGGCCAGAGCAUCUGUUACUGAACUGAUUGCCAGGAUUUUUUCCACUGAUCUGACUGGCUAAGUAGGCAUUCCUUUCCUCGUUAUGUCAGUCCCUCCAGAGCCUAUAGGUGGAACAGAGUCUUCCUUCUCUUUGGGCAAGAGUCUGAGUCCCAAUACUUGCUUGCUGGAACCUCAGAACAAGUUCUCUUCUCAUGAGGGGGUUUCUGCCUCUUAUAAGUAUCAUGAAAAAAAAUCAAAUAUAAUAAUAUAUUUUAAAUUGUAAAGUUCUAU